CGAUAUCUCUGUAUAUAGUCAAUACAUAGGAGUACACACUACUACAAAAAAUGAUUUGCAGCAACACCUCGAAUUUUUUUAGGGGCGGACCAAAAUAUCAUCCGUUCUUACAAAUGGAGCACCGGUACUGCAAAUGGGCACCAUUUUCAGGGCGGCCGGGGGUUGAGCCGGCCCUAAAAAAAACUUUGUAGGGGCGGUUCAUCUCCCCCCAUCCGCCCCUCAAAAUGGCGCCCAUUUUCGGAGGCGGCUGAUAGGGUGAGCCACCCCUACAAAUGGUAUUUUUAGGGGCGGCUCACCCCCAACCCUCCCCUAAAAAUAUCUGUAAAAAUCUAGGCACCUUCUUCCUCAUCCCGACCUUCUAUUGUUUGCUCGGGAGAGGAGCUCCUCCAAGAGCCGAGAAAAAAAAAACCGGAGUUGGGGGGGGGAGCUUUUCAACUUGAUUUCCUUCGAGUUGGGGGCUCUAGGAGAGAUGAAUAGGAUAUGGAUGUACAAUGCAAAAAGGACGGACGCCUAUUUCUGUGAAGAACUUAAUAAAUUCAUUCAAGUUGCAGAGAAUCACGCAAGAAAGGAGAACCCAUUUUCAGGGGCGGGUCACCCUCUCACCCGCCCCUGCAAAUAGCUAUUUUUAGUAGCGAAAACUAACAAUAGGUGUGCUACCCGCUCCUAAAAAUGUGUUUUUAUCCGCCUCUAUAAAUAUUAUUUUAGUAGUGACAUCAGGGCGGUGGAACAAUAAAGUGCGUGCCCCUUUCAGUCAAUGUCCAGAGUAAAUAGAAGAAUACUCAUUGUGUUUCUAGUCAGACAAGUUGUCUGCCCGAGAAGGGUAGUGUUCCCUUCUUUUAAAAAAAUACAAGGUUUAUUUUUUUGUUAGGAUAAGCCUCCGACAAAGAAUUAUUUUAUUAAUACAUACUUUUUGUGAUAUAAAUUUAAUUUCAUCA